rnacentral:rRNA from 1 species
UACGUAGGGUGCGAGCGUUGUCCGGAAUUACUGGGCGUAAAGAGCUCGUAGGUGGUUUGUCGCGUUGUCCGUGAAAACUCACAACUCAAUUGUGGGCGUGCGGGCGAUACGGGCAGACUGGAGUACUGCAGGGGAGACUGGAAUUCCUGGUGUAGCGGUGGAAUGCGCAGAUAUCAGGAGGAACACCGGUGGCGAAGGCGGGUCUCUGGGCCGAAAUUGACGCUGAGGAGCGAAAGCGUGGGGAGCAAACAGG